GUACUAUGUGUGGGUACCAUUUGAUACCAAGAGUCCAUAAGUAGAGGAUAUAACCCGAGUCAGAGGGUUAUACCGGCUGAAUAUAAAUCCCGACUGCGAUAGCAGGAGGGAUUUAUAUGAGGGUACGGUAUAACCCGACUACGAGGGUCAUAUCCUACUUAUGCCAGGUACCCCUACGCAUUGCCAGAACAACGAACCUAUUUGGAGAUCUCCUACAUCAUGCAGUACAUGAACAUCUUCUGAUGGUUAUCAGUUGUCAAUUGAAAGAAUGGUCGAGCAAGGUCAGAAGGAGAUUCCUCCGUGGAUGUUUGGCAUAAGAUUUCCUUUCAGUUCCAGUGCAUAUUGUAGCAUCUUCAUGAUCUUGUCUUGAGUCGUGAGCGGUGCGGAAGUCGACUGAAUUGCUGCGGUGCUGGAGUUUGUCGUUGAAUCAAACUACCGUCACUAGUUAGAUUACAGCUUGGACUCUUUGGGAGUAAGUGUUACUAUAAUUAUGGUACAGUGCUGAUUUUCACAUGCGGCAUCUCAUAAUCAGUUUUGCUUGCAAGUAGAUGCAUUUGCAUACACUGUUUUGUAUCACAUUUCAAUCCAAUCUUUUGUAGCCUUUUCCAAUCGGGUUGAAGUACAUGUACACUGGUAUUAUAAACUUAUUUACGAAGGAGACAGUCCGUUGAUGAUCUUCAACUCUUCGAAGUACAAUGUACAUUGCUGACCCAUUCGGGAUACUUCGUGGUUAUUCGACGUUCUUUAUCCUCAGAUUCAGUAUAACAGAAUACUCUGUAGACGAAUUCCAGGUCAUUCUUCUUUUC